ensembl:lncRNA
CUGGGUGGACCAGGGCUAUGGGGGCAGCCUGGGGGCUCAGCCCUGUCUCCUUCGGACAGUCCCCCGCCCCCAGACUCGGGGUGUGUGCCCACAUGUGCCAAGGACCGGCCUGGCCGAGGGUGUGCUCUUCCGGAAGCCUCCGGAUUCAGGGUGUGGAUCGAGGGUCCCAGGGGUGUCCAGGUUCCCGCCGGACCUGGAGCAGCUGCAGGUUCCCGCCGGACCUGGAGCAGCUGCAGGGUCUCCCGGGCAUUGGGAUUGUGGGUGAUUCCUACUGGAGC